ensembl:lncRNA
CAAUCUUCCUCUUUUUUUUUUCUCCCCAAAGCCCCACUACAUAGUUGUAUAUCCUAGUUGUGUCAUUCUAGUUCUUCUACAUGGGAGGCCGCCAUAGCAUGGUUUGAUGAGCGGUGCUCUGGUCCACCCAGGAUCCGAAUCAGUGAACCCUGGGCCACCAAAGUGGAGCACGUGAACUUAACCAUGGCCAUGGGGCAGCCCCUCUUACCCCUUUCAAACAAACCUCAAACUCUCAGGCUGCCUCUCGAGCUUGCUCUCUCUCUCUCAUAGACACACACACACAGCUUCAUGAGUAAGUUUUCUCUAAAUUCCAGUAUUUACAGAAAACAAUCCACGUUUAUGCUAUAAUAAAAUAUGUAAUAAGUAUAUGCUGGAGCGGGCAGCAUGACUAAUGGACAGAUAACAACCAGAGAUGGAAUAAUCGCUGAAGUCAUUCGUUCAUCAUUCAUUCAUUCAUUCAACAUGCCUUCCUCCGGCGCCUGGUCUGUGUGGAGCCCUCUGCUGGGUGGUACCAGAGACCCAGAGGUGACAUGACAGCUGCAGCCCUGCCGUCCCAGGGCUCACGGUCCAGUUGGAGAGACAGGCUCAUCCCCAAAUAGGGACGACCCGGAGUAGUCAUACCUCGGAUGUAGGAGCCCAGAGGGGGCUCUCGAUCCACCUGGGAGAGUCCAGGAGGCCUUCCUGGGGGAGGGGUGCACUGAACCGGAGAACACAGUAAGACGAUUAACAAGGGGAGCAGCUAUGUCUCUGGCAGGUGAGAUUUCCCAGACGUUGCAUCAAAGGGCUUUAAUGCAUCAUUUCCAUUUAUUUCCCCAAACCCUGGUAAGUGGAAGCUAUUUUUAGCUCCAUUUUACAAAUGAGGAAAUUGAACUGUCCCUGCCUAGCUGUGAGUUGCACGGCCCCGGGGCCCAUUGGAACUCACAGCGCGGCGUGUGUAAGAGGGUGUGACAACGCAGAGUGGGCAGGGCCGGGACAGGAGAGCCUAGGGCGCUCCAGGGGGGACCAGAGGAAGGUGGCCCAGCCUGGGAGUCUGGGAAGGCUUCCUGGAGGAGGGGAUGGCUGAGCCAAGAACCAAAGCGUGAGCAGUCAUUAGCCAGAAAAAGAACAGAGGAAAAGUGUUCUGGCCAGAAGAUGACCAAACAUGGUCUGUUUGGGGAGACUGCAAGGCUUUCCGUCUGCUGACUUGCAAAGCUGGAGAGGAAGAGAGGUUGGUGCUGCCGUCAGGGGCGGACACACCCAGGAGCUGGUAAACCGGGCUCUGGAAUCUGGACCCGCAGAAGGAAGUGGCUCCCUGAUUAGUCCUGGACAUCACUGCCUGAAUAGACAUUUCUCCAAAGAGGACAUGGAAAUGGCCAACAGACACAGGAAAAGAUGCUCGACACCGCUAAUCAUCAGGGACAUGCAAAUCAAAACCACAGUGAAACCACCUCACACCGGUUAGAAUGACUGCCAUCAGGAAGACAAGAGACGACAGGGGCUGGCGAGGAUGUCCAGAAAGGGGAACACUUGUGCACUGUUGGUGGGACUGUAAAUUGGUCCAACUGCUAUGGAAAACAAUAUGGAGGCUCCUCAGAAAAUUAAAAAUAGAUCUACCAUACGAUCCAGCAAUUCCACUUCUGGGUUUAUAUCCAAAGCAAAUGAAAACAGGAUUUCAAUGAGAUCCCUGGACCCCCACGUUCAUCGCAGCAUUAUUCCCAAUAGCCAAGAUAUGGAAACAACCUACGUGUCCAUCAACGGAGGAAUGGAUAAAGAAGAUGUGGUCUAUAUAUAUAUACAAUGGAAUAUUAUUCAGCCAUGAGAAAGGAAGAUAUCCUCCCAUUUGUGACAAGAGGGAUGGACGUUGAGUGCUUUCUGCUAAGCCAGAUAAGUCAGAGAGAGAAUGACUAGUACUGUGUGAUCUCACUUAUAUGUGAAAUCUAAAGAAGUUAAAUCUAUGAAAAACAGAGAGUAAAAUGGGGGUCACCAGGGGAUGGGGGAGGGGAUAGGAGUGAUGGUGUUUAAGGGUACAACUUGUAACAAGUAGUAAAUGAGCCACAGAGCUCUAACACACAGU